CCUACGGGAGGCAGCAGUGGGGAAUAUUGCACAAUGGGGGAAACCCUGAUGCAGCGACGCCGCGUGAGUGAAGAAGUAUUUCGGUAUGUAAAGCUCUAUCAGCAGGGGAGAAAAUGACGGUACCUAAUUAAGAAGCCCCGGCUAACUACGUGCCAGCAGCCGCGGUAAUACGUAGGGGGCAAGCGUGAUCCGGAUUUACUGGGUGUUAAGGGAGCGUAGACGGCAGCACAAGUCUGGAGUGAAAUGCCGGGGCUUAACCCCGGAACUGCUGUGGAAACUGUGCAGCUAGAGUGCAGGAGAGGUAAGUGGAAUUCGUAGUGUAGCGGUGAAAUGCGUAGAUAUUAGGAGGAACACCAGUGGCGAAGGCGGCUUACUGGACUGUAACUGACGCUGAGGCUCGAAAGUGUGGGGAGCAAACAGGAUUAGAUACCCUUGUAGUC
rnacentral:rRNA from 1 species